rnacentral:rRNA from 1 species
CCAAUAGCGUAUAUUAAAGUUGUUGCAGUUAAAAAGCUCGUAGUUGAAUUUCGGGAUUGACACAUCGGUCGUGCCUUAAGGGGUAUGAACUGGCGUAGUCAAUUUCUCACCUUCUGGAGAACCGCGAUGCCCUUAAUUGGGUGUCACGGGGAACCAGGACCUUUACUUUGAAAAAAUUAGAGUGUUUAAAGCAGGCAUUUUGCUUGAAUACAUUAGCAUGGAAUAAUAAAAUAGGACGGCAUGAUUCUAUUUUGUUGGUUUCUAGGAUCACCGUAAUGAUUAAUAGGGAUAGUUGGGGGCAUUAGUAUUCAAUUGUCAGAGGUGAAAUUCUUGGAUUUAUUGAAGACUAACUACUGCGAAAGCAUUUGCCAAGGAUGUUUUCAUCAAUCAAGAACGAAAGUUAGGGGAUCGAAGACGAUCAGAUACCGUCGUAGUCUUAACCAUAAACUAUGCCGACUAGGAAUCAGACGAUGUUAAUUUUUUAAUGACUCGUUUGGCACCUUACG